AACUGUUUUGCACUGGCUAAUGCAAAUACGGCUAUAGACCUCAUCAGUUUUAUUGUUUUCAUUUUAUAAAAUCGAUAGUUGGAUGAGUGUAUAUCCCUUGUGUACAUGAGCUAUCACAGAAAGCUUUAAACUUAUAUUUAGAUCGACGACGACAUCGUCACAAUUACAUCUGUAAUGCAAGUAGCCUACGAUCAAAACGUACUUACGGACAGUAUAUGACCAUUAUGUAAAAAAUCCAGUUCAGCAAAACUGGCUAGUUUAAAAAAUUGUUGAGAAAUGGAUUAAGUUAAAUUCAUAUGGCUCACGGCUCUGUCAAUGGUAUAGCGACUUUAAAUACAGUGUAGCUUUUAUAGUGUACAACUUCUCGUUUUUCAAGAGAUGUAUUGAACAAUGAAAAAAGGCUGUUAAUUGGAUGGUGCUAAGUGAGUGAAGAAAAUGAGACCAAAGCAAACUAAAUCAAUGCAGAUUAAUUACUAUAGACACAAUCAGGGACCUUAUACGAUGUAAAAAUUCUCUCUAUGAAUAUAAAAAUAAAUUCAAAAAGUUACAGUUUAGAAAUUAAGAAAAUUACAAAUUUCAAAAGAUAA